GAUGAACGCUGGCGGCAUGCCUAACACAUGCAAGUCGAUCGGUAAGGCUCUUCGGAGUACACGAGAGGCGGACGGCUGAGUAACGCGUAGGAACACACCCUGCAGUGAGGGAUAAGACACCGAAAGGUGUUCUAAUACCGCAUACGGUCUUCGGAUUAAAGCAUUUAUGCGCUGAAGGAGUGGCCUGCGUCAUAUUAGAUAGUUGGUGAGGUAAUGGCUCACCAAGUCGAUGAUGUGUAGCUGGUCUGAGAGGAUGAUCAGCCAGACUGGAACUGAGACACGGUCCAGACUCCUACGGGAGGCAGCAGGGAGGAAUAUUUCACAAUGAGCGAAAGCUUGAGGGAGCAAUGCCGCGGGAAGGAUGAAGGCCCUCGGGUUGUAAACUGCUUUUAUAAGAGAAGAUAAUGACGGUAACUUAGGAAGAAGGGACGGCUAACUACGU
rnacentral:rRNA from 1 species